rnacentral:rRNA from 1 species
GAUGAACGCUGGCGGCGUGCCUAAUACAUGCAAGUCGAGCGAAUGGAUUAAGAGCUUGCUCUUAUGAAGUUAGCGGCGGACGGGUGAGUAACACGUGGGUAACCUGCCCAUAAGACUGGGAUAACUCCGGGAAACCGGGGCUAAUACCGGAUAAUAUUUUGAACUGCAUGGUUCACACUUGAAAGGCGGCUUCGGCUGUCACUUAUGGAUGGACCCGCGGCGCAUUAGCGAGUAGGUGAGGUAACGGCUCACCAAGGCAACGAUGAGUAGCCGACCUGCGAGGGUGAUCGGCCACACUGGGACUGAGACACGGCCCAGACUCCUACGGGAGGCAGCAGUAGGGAAUCUUCCGCAAUGGACGAAAUUCUGACGGAGCAACGCCGCGUGAGUGAUGAAGGCUUUCGGGUCGUAAAACUCUGUUGUUAGGGAAGAACAAGUGCUAGUUGAAUAAGCUGGCACCUUGACGGUACCUAACCAGAAAGCCACGGCUAACUACGUGCCAGCCGCCGCAGUAA